rnacentral:rRNA from 1 species
GUGAACCAGUACCGUGAGGGAAAGGCGAAAAGAACCCCGGCGAGGGGAGUGAAAAAGAACCUGAAACCGUGUACGUACAAGCAGUGGGAGCACAGGUUUACCUGUGUGACUGCGUACCUUUUGUAUAAUGGGUCAGCGACUUAUAUUCUGUAGCAAGGUUAACCGAAUAGGGGAGCCGGAGGGAAACCGAGUCUUAAUCGGGCGUUAAGUUGCAGGGUAUAGACCCGAAACCCGGUGAUCUAGCCAUGGGCAGGUUGAAGGUUGGGUAACACUAACUGGAGGACCGAACCGACUAAUGUUGAAAAAUUAGCGGAUGACCUGUGGCUGGGGGUGAAAGGCCAAUCAAACCGGGAGAUAGCUGGUUCUCCCCGAAAGCUAUUUAGGUAGCGCCUCGUGAAUUCAUCUCCGGGGGUAGAGCACUGUUUCGGCUAGGGGGCCAUCCCGGCUUACCAACCCGAUGCAAACUGCGAAUACCGGAGAAUGUUAUCACGGGAGACACACGGCGGGUGCUAACGUCCGUCGUGAAGAGGGAAACAACCCAGACCGCCAGCUAAGGUCCCAAAGUCAUGGUUAAGUGGGAAACGAUGUGGGAAGGCCCAGACAGCCAGGAUGUUGGCUUAGAAGCAGCCAUCAUUUAAAGAAAGCGUAAUAGCUCACUGGUCGAGUCGGCCUGCGCGGAAGAUGUAACGGGGCUAAACCAUGCACCGAAGCUGCGGCAGCGACGCUGAUGCGUUGUUGGGUAGGGGAGCGUUCUGUAAGCCUGUGAAGGUGGCCUGUGAGGGUUGCUGGAGGUAUCAGAAGUGCGAAUGCUGACAUAAGUAACGAUAAAGCGGGUGAAAAGCCCGCUCGCCGGAAGACCAAGGGUUCCUGUCCAACGUUAAUCGGGGCAGGGUGAGUCGACCCCUAAGGCGAGGCCGAAAGGCGUAGUCGAUGGGAAACGGGUUAAUAUUCCCGUACUUGGUGUUACUGCGAAGGGGGGACGGAGAAGGCUAUGUUGGCCGGGCGACGGUUGUCCCGGUUUAAGCGUGUAGGUGUGUGUUCCAGGUAAAUCCGGUUCACUUUAACACUGAGGCGUGAUGACGAGGCACUACGGUGCUGAAGCAACAAAUGCCCUGCUUCCAGGAAAAGCCUCUAAGCAUCAGGUAACAUCAAAUCGUACCCCAAACCGACACAGGUGGUCAGGUAGAGAAUACCAAGGCGCUUGAGAGAACUCGGGUGAAGGAACUAGGCAAAAUGGUGCCGUAACUUCGGGAGAAGGCACGCUGACACGUAGGUGAAGUGAUUUACUCACGGAGCUGAAGUCAGUCGAAGAUACCAGCUGGCUGCAACUGUUUAUUAAAAACACAGCACUGUGCAAACACGAAAGUGGACGUAUACGGUGUGACGCCUGCCCGGUGCCGGAAGGUUAAUUGAUGGGGUCAGCGCAAGCGAAGCUCCUGAUCGAAGCCCCGGUAAACGGCGGCCGUAACUAUAACGGUCCUAAGGUAGCGAAAUUCCUUGUCGGGUAAGUUCCGACCUGCACGAAUGGCGUAAUGAUGGCCAGGCUGUCUCCACCCGAGACUCAGUGAAAUUGAACUCGCUGUGAAGAUGCAGUGUACCCGCGGCAAGACGGAAAGACCCCGUGAACCUUUACUAUAGCUUGACACUGAACAUUGAGCCUUGAUGUGUAGGAUAGGUGGGAGGCUUUGAAGUGUGGACGCCAGUCUGCAUGGAGCCGACCUUGAAAUACCACCCUUUAAUGUUUGAUGUUCUAACGUGGACCCGUGAUCCGGGUUGCGGACAGUGUCUGGUGGGUAGUUUGACUGGGGCGGUCUCCUCCUAAAGAGUAACGGAGGAGCACGAAGGUUGGCUAAUCCUGGUCGGACAUCAGGAGGUUAGUGCAAUGGCAUAAGCCAGCUUGACUGCGAGCGUGACGGCGCGAGCAGGUGCGAAAGCAGGUCAUAGUGAUCCGGUGGUUCUGAAUGGAAGGGCCAUCGCUCAACGGAUAAAAGGUACUCCGGGGAUAACAGGCUGAUACCGCCCAAGAGUUCAUAUCGACGGCGGUGUUUGGCACCUCGAUGUCGGCUCAUCACAUCCUGGGGCUGAAGUAGGUCCCAAGGGUAUGGCUGUUCGCCAUUUAAAGUGGUACGCGAGCUGGGUUUAGAACGUCGUGAGACAGUUCGGUCCCUAUCUGCCGUGGGCGCUGGAGAACUGAGGGGGGCUGCUCCUAGUACGAGAGGACCGGAGUGGACGCAUCACUGGUGUUCGGGUUGUCAUGCCAAUGGCACUGCCCGGUAGCUAAAUGCGGAAGAGAUAAGUGCUGAAAGCAUCUAAGCACGAAACUUGCCCCGAGAUGAGUUCUCCCUGAGACUUAAAGUCUCCUGAAGGAACGUUGAAGACGACGACGUUGAUAGGCCGGGUGUGUAAGCGCAGCGAUGCGUUGAGCUAACCGGUACUAAUGAACCGUGAGGCUUAACCUU